rnacentral:tRNA from 1 species
GGAACUCUAGCAAUCGUGGUGAUGCUCCGGUCUGAAGAGCCGGUCAGGUUGGUUCGACACCAACGGGUUCCAC